rnacentral:rRNA from 1 species
ACGGGUGAGUAACACGUGGGUAACCUGCCUCAUAGAGGGGGAUAGCCUCCCGAAAGGGAGAUUAAUACCGCAUAAUAUGGAUUAAUCGCAUGAUUAAAUCAUUAAAGGAGUAAUCCGCUAUGAGAUGGACCCGCGGCGCAUUAGCUAGUUGGAGAGGUAAAGGCUCACCAAGGCGACGAUGCGUAGCCGACCUGAGAGGGUGAUCGGCCACAUUGGAACUGAGACACGGUCCAGACUCCUACGGGAGGCAGCAGUGGGGAAUAUUGCACAAUGGGGGAAACCCUGAUGCAGCAACGCCGCGUGAGUGAUGAAGGCCUUCGGGUUGUAAAGCUCUGUCAUUGGGGACGAUAAUGACGGUACCCAAUGAGGAAGCCACGGCUAACUACGUGCCAGCAGCCGCGGUAAUACGUAGGUGGCAAGCGUUGUCCGGAUUUACUGGGCGUAAAGGAUGCGUAGGCGGAUUUUUAAGUGAGAUGUGAAAUUCCUGGGCUUAACUUGGGAGCUGCAUUUCAAACUGGAAGUCUAGAGUGCGGGAGAGGUAAGUGGAAUUCCUAGU